UAUUCAAAUGCAAGGAUAAAGCUUAUCUAUUAUGAAAUUUGUUGUGUACCUGUCAUCAUUGCUUUAAGCUGUUUUCUAUGUCGUUUCAUUUUUUUUUUCUUUCUUUCCCUCAUUUUGUUACCAUUCCUUUUGAAAUACAAGAAUAAUCUGUGGUGUCCACUGUCCACACACAUGAUCCUAGAGGUCUCUUCUGUAUUCAGUCUCACACUACCCCUCUUGUUUUCUAUAUAAAUCUUCUUGUCAUUUACAAAUUAAGUUGUCCAGUGCUAUACUUUCUUAGACUUUGGAGACUCUGAGAGCGUGUAGGCCAAUAUGUAGCCUUUAUCUGCAUUUGCACCUGCACCUACAUACUUGUUUCUCUCAUAUAUGACUUCAAAAACCAAAGCUAGCUUUAAAGCAUGGCAAAAUUGGGAGAUGAACCAAGCAAUAGGUGCAGGUACAGACGCAGGUGAAUGCCAUUUUGGCACUUGAAAGUUUAAACACACACAACAGUACGUGCUUACCUUUCUCUCUUUAUAUUUUUGGUUCCACCAAAAGGGUUUUCAGGACCAAAUUAAGAUCCAUCAGUACAGAUUGUACAGAAGGGACCUGUUAAAGUAAGUAAAGAGUCUACAUCCACACUAAGAGACUUUUGGAGCUGAAAAUAUCACUCAUCAUCAUCAUCUCUUUCUUUGUAUUUGUGUCUCAAAAGAGUUCUCUGAGAAUCUUUUGACCCGGCAAGAUCCAUCGAUAAUGAACUAAUGAAGCCCAGCUGAUGAGGUAAUGAAGACUCGCAAAAAUAGGCUUUUGAAGGUAACAAACUCUCUCAGACACAGCACACUUUUGCACAGUUUUUAGAGUUCUAGAGUGCUUUGGACUUUUAAAAUAUAGUGAAAAAUAUAGAUCUUGCUUCCUCUUGCUGAAAAUUUUUACACACUAGUGCAAAGGAGAAAUUCUUGAGGAAACUGUUACCACCUCUGGGCAAGAGGACCACGUUAUUUUACAGCUGGUUGAAAAAACAACAUAUAAAGAAUAUUUAUCAUUGAAAUUGAUUCAAUUUAGAGAAAUCUCCUUUGGUAAAAAUGGAAAAAUUAGUUAGUGUUAAGAGGUUUAAUUAACUCAAGCAUGAAAAGGAAUAUUAGUAUAAAAGAGAAUCACAAUAAAAUUAAGCUCACGAAGAAUAGAAAGAAAAGGUAUAAAAGUACGUUAUCGUGUCUACUGAUAAAUCAAAAGAACCAGAAUAUUUUACAUGGUUGAUAGUAAAACAAAUAAAAUGCAAACUUAAGCAAGCUUUGACUCACAAUUUUCUUCAAAAUAAUCCCUCUCCUAUUCCUUUAGAAGUAGCCAAUUUCUUCAGAAUAUUUCGACUAACAUAUAUAAGCCUAGAACUGCUGAAUUUGAAGACACAUAUGCUCCUCAAAUUAACUAAUACUCCUAAUAUUUACACCUUUUUCCCCUUGUCAAGCAAUAACAAAUGCUCUCUUUUUAUUAUUAUUAAUAUUUAAAAGAGAAAAAAAACUAUUUGUAUAUAUUCUGUUUGUUCUUCUUGUGGCCAUUCUAGCUUUGUUAGUCUUGCACUUUGUAUUGAUUUCCAGUUUUCCACAAAAUCUAAUACAGAAUUACAACAAAGCAACGAGAAAUAUACUCACACAGUCACACACCGCCUGAUGACUAGGUUGAGCUCAGACAGAUCAUGAUAUCAUGACAUGACUUUGAAGAACUAUGUUAGAUUGUUAGUAACUUGCCUUGAAUUAAAUUUGUUUAGAUUAGCCCCUACUCAUCUUUUAAUUUGGUUUGUACUUAUUGUUGCUAUAUAUAUAUAUAUAUAUAUCCCUAAAUUAAGAACAUAAUUAUUUGGGAAAGUCCAUCUGUAGAUAACCCGGGGAAAAAUCUCUCUAGGACCAGGCUUUUAAUGAUGGACAUAUACCUUUUGCAGUCCACAUUGUCAGUGCAUGGGUAAAUAUUGUUCAUACCAGUGGCGUUGGAUGCAGUUUCACAUGUACAAAUGUAUUUGGGACUGUGGCUUAUAAGCUAAUUUUUUGCAUUUUAAUUUUUACUUACAGUUUUUUAAAACAUUAUUAUUAUUUUUUUUAAGUACAAGUAUAUAUUAGUACGUUUUCAACAAAAUUUCUUUCAGAAAAAAGCUAUAUAAAUUGUUCCAAACGAUGGCAAUUCUAUCUGGAAAUAGAGGGUGUUAGGGUACAAUUUUUUUUUUUUUACACCUAAUAUUAUUUAAGUACAGUGGUGACGCCACAUUAUGCUCAGGGUGUUCCGAACACGUCCUGGAAAUUUUUUUUUUAUAUAUAAUAAUUAAUUUUUUUUAUUUGUUUACCCUUAAAAAAAAUUAGGAACACCCUCAAUCAAAAUUUGGAACACCCUCAAAUUAAAAAAAAAAAAAAUUUGUUCUACUUUCAAGCAAAAAAAAAAAAAAAAAAAUUGGUAACAGAGCAAAACAACAGAUGGCAAGCCCAACAUCAAGCCUAACAGAUUACAAAGGAAGCAAACCCACGGAUUCUCAAAAAAAAAAAAAAAAAAAAACCAAACCCCAAUACAAAGCAAAUCACUAAAUCAGAAACCUUAAAUCACUAAAUCAGAAAUCACGCUAAAGCAAACAUAAAAACAGAGCAACGCCUCUCCUCAUCAGAGAUCGGUCCAAUCGCAGUCCAGAGCACAUCGUUGCUCCUCAUUGGAGAUCAGUCCAGUCGCAGUCCAGAGCACGUCGUCACCCCUCAUCGGAGAUCGGUCGUCAGUGACGAUCAUUGCCUCAGCCUCAGCCUUCAGCCUCUCUCCUCCGGUAUCAAGUUUUGUCCAUUUUGUAGGGCUCACAAUGAGAAAGCAAAAGGAUAGGCCGAAGUGGAGAGAACCACCAAGUCAGAGGCCCGCCAAAAUACUCAGUCCUCAUGGCCAAGCCCAACAUGAAAUCUCAGCCAAAACAGCUCAUGUGUGAAAACUGUCCCCACUAGAAAACUCCAUUCAAUUCUGCCUUUCGCUAGAGGUCACCUCAAGAAGCAACUAAGCUCCCAAACCAAAUUAGGAGCUGGCUACCUGUCCUACUACCAACUCUGACGUGAAGAGUACCAGAGGCUGACACCUAAAAGGCUAAUGGCCAAUAAAUACCAUUCUUCCCCAAGUUUUGGUCACAACUCAAGGAAGCCAUAACCAAGACCUCCAAGCUCAUGAAAUUCUCAACCAAAUAGUUUAUUUUAUUACUAAAAAUAUAUGUAAUUGGUUUAUGAACCAAGCCCAUGAAUCCUAAAGGGGAAAAUUAGAGAAAAGUGGUUUGGAGGACAUAAUAGGGGUGUCCAAUAAUAGCUACCAGUAGAUGCAUCAAUGGUUGACACUUGGCUUGGAGUGUCAACCAACUCUCUUAAGCUCUGAUCCUAGUGGCAGCAAGCAAGAUCUCUAGUCCUUAUACUU